GCUUUAACAUGCAGUCGACGGCAGCGCGAGAGAGCUUGCUCUCUUGGCGGCGAGUGGCGGACGGGUGAGUAAUAUAUCGGAACGUGCCCAGUAGCGGGGGAUAACUACUCGAAAGAGUGGCUAAUACCGCAUACGCCCUACGGGGGAAAGGGGGGGAUCGCAAGACCUCUCACUAUUGGAGCGGCCGAUAUCGGAUUAGCUAGUUGGUGGGGUAAAGGCUCACCAAGGCAACGAUCCGUAGCUGGUUUGAGAGGACGACCAGCCACACUGGGACUGAGACACGGCCCAGACUCCUACGGGAGGCAGCAGUGGGGAAUUUUGGACAAUGGGGGAAACCCUGAUCCAGCCAUCCCGCGUGUAUGAUGAAGGCCUUCGGGUUGUAAAGUACUUUUGGCAGAGAAGAAAAGGUAUCUCCUAAUACGAGAUACUGCUGACGGUAUCUGCAGAAUAAGCACCGGCUAACUACGUGCCAGCAGCCGCGGUAAUACGUAGGGUGCAAGCGUUAAUCGGAAUUACUGGGCGUAAAGCGUGUGUAGGCGGUUCGGAAAGAAAGAUGUGAAAUCCCAGGGCUCAACCUUGGAACUGCAUUUUUAACUGCCGAGCUAGAGUAUGUCAGAGGGGGGUAGAAUUCCACGUGUAGCAGUGAAAUGCGUAGAUAUG
rnacentral:rRNA from 1 species